rnacentral:misc_RNA from 1 species
CCGAGUGAGGGCCCUCGCGGCCCGACCUCCCACCCUUGCGAACCGACCCCGUUGCUUCGGGGCGACGCCCCCUCGGGGGCGGCCCCGGAGGCCAUUUAACACGGCAUCCGUGCAUCUGAGUCACAAAGAAAAUAAACA